rnacentral:rRNA from 1 species
GUGAGGAAUUUUGCACAAUGGGGGAAACCCUGAUGCAGCGACGCCGCGUGAGUGACGAAGGUCUUCGGAUCGUAAAGCUCUGUCAGCAGGGAAGAAAUGUAUCAUGGCUAAUAUCCAUGGUACUUGACGGUACCUGCAAAGGAAGCACCGGCUAACUCCGUGCCAGCAGCCGCGGUAAUACGGAGGGUGCGAGCGUUGUUCGGAUUUACUGGGCGUAAAGGGCGCGUAGGCGGUUUUAUAAGCCAGAUGUGAAAGCCCACGGCUCAACCGUGGAAGUGCAUCUGGAACUGUAAGACUUGAGUACUGGAGGGGAGUGUGGAAUUCCCGGUGUAGAGGUGAAAUUCGUAGAUAUCGGGAGGAAUACCGGUGGCGAAGGCGACACUCUGGACAGAUACUGACGCUGAGGCGCGAAAGCGUGGGGAGCAAACAGGAUUAGAUACCCCAGUAGUCC